ensembl:lncRNA novel transcript
UUCGGGGGAAAAUGGCCAUCCCAUCGUUCUACAUCAACCGCCGGUUUUUCUUUAGGGUGAAGUGAGAGGCUUGAGGGCAGGGAAGCAUCCAAAGGGAAUUUCUCAGUUGCCAGCACUUGAAGUUUCAAAAACGAGGAUCAAGCCGUUCCUGGGAGCAUCCUAUGAGACAUUUGGACACAGGUUUACUUGGAGUCUCGGAGAUAUGACGGAAUCUGGAAAAGUCAAAGGAAAAAAAGCCAAGGUUAAUGGAAUUCAAGAACAUAAAUUCAAGCAGGGACGAUAUAGUGAAAACACUACUAUCUCCAUAAGUCAGUCUUUUUAAUUGCCUAAAGUUUUAACCAAGUCCCGGAGCUUUGGCUAAUGAUGAAAGAGGUAACAGAACAAACUCAAGUCUCUUGUCGAGCAGAUGGAGCUGGUGGAUUCCAGGACACUCCCCAAGGGAGCCAGGGAUGACCAUCUACGGAUCUCAAAGUGGCAACAUUUGCAAACCAGGACCCAGGAGCCAAUUUAACAAAUGUCAGGGCAGCCUGCAGAGAGGAAUGGAAGGAAGAAACAUGCAUUCCACAUCUGGGAGUGUUUAGAAGUUGGAAACCGAUCAUUUAGAAGAAGACAGAGAGGAAUUCCCUUUAUUUCUCAAUCAAUAAAUCAUUGCCACAU